UACGUAGGGGGCAAGCGUUGUCCGGAUUUACUGGGCGUAAAGAGCGUGUAGGCGGCUCGACAAGUCCGUUGUGAAAACUAGAGGCUUAACCUCUAGACGUCGAUGGAAACUGUUUGGCUAGAGUCCGGAAGAGGAGAAUGGAAUUCCUGGUGUAGCGGUGAAAUGCGCAGAUAUCAGGAAGAACACCCGUGGCUAAGGCGGUGCUCUAGUACGGUACUGACGCUGAGACGCGAAAGCGUGGGGAGCGAACAGG
rnacentral:rRNA from 1 species